UCCUAAUCGGAGGGUUACACUUCACACCAUCGCAUUGUUAGAUAUGUAAGUAGAUCGCGUGUCGAAAGAUCAAGUUCAAGGUGAAAUUAUAUUCCGCUAUUAAGACCAAAAACUUAUAUAACUGCAAUCGGCUACGAUGGAAGCACGCUCAGUAAAAUUUCAAAUUCAUGUUUUUCCAAAUUUAUAAGAUAAAAAUUAACCUCAGGGCACAAGGUGCAUAGAAUAAUAGACAUGCAUACACACAUAUUUUCAUGUGUAUCUACACUUUACAUAAUUAAUUCAGCAUUACCUUUGGAUGCAUAUUGUUCAGCAGGACUCCAAAUUGUUGACACGAUCUGCGUGCAAAAUAUGAGACGCCCCGAUUUUUUAAUCUGGCUCACGAUAAAUAUAUCUAAAACCGGAUAUGAACACGAAUUUUUAUAUAAAUUUAGGUACAUAUUUCCUUUGAGUUAUUACACAAUGGCUGAAAAGAAUUACUAACCUUAUUCAACAAAUUAGACAUUAUGCAAUUUACUAUUUAAGUGAACGUUUUCCCAGUAAUUUUGUACAGAUUCCCUUCACCAAGGAAAACCAAAUACAUUUUUUUUUCAAAAACUGAAAAUCUGUCACCAUGUAUCGGUUAUCAUUCAUCUCCUCCUUGGUGCUUCUGGUACUGGUUUCCGCAACGUCGGCGGAAGAAAAGGUGCAAGGGAAAAAGGGCAAACAGGUGAACGUGACCUGCAAGGGCGAACCCGUGAAUUUGAAACCAUUGCUCGUGGGUGAGAAGGAAUGUUACCAAGAAACCUUUGGAACCAGUACGCCCAACCCAACCACCACUCGGGAAGAAAUGGUCAAGAAAUGGAAUGAAAACGAAGCGUGUUUGAGGGUGUGCGUCUACAAAAAGUAAAAGAUGCUGAAUGCUGACGGGACUUACAAUGCAGAUGAGGCUGAAAAAUUACUGAAAGCUGCUUUCCCCACUGCAGUUCAAGCCACGCUGAAAAAGGCUGUCGAUGACUGUGCAUCUGCCAACGCUAAGACCUUCAGCUUGGACAAUAAAUGUGCUGGAUACCAGGCUUUCAACGAUUGUAAAUCGAAGAAGUACGCAGAGAUUUGCAAAUUCAAAACGGAAGAAUGAGUCGAGACAGUUUAAACCCUAGUUUAUCAUUUCAAUCGUGUGAUUCAUGUCAUAUUUCAUUAAACUUGUAUAAUCCUGGGUAUAAAUA